AAUGGACUGGCGACUGGACAGGCGU
rnacentral:piRNA from 1 species